GACGAACGCUGGCGGCGUGCUUAACACAUGCAAGUCGAACGGUAAGGCCCUUCGGGGUACACGAGUGGCGAACGGGUGAGUAACACGUGGGUGAUCUGCCCUGCACUUCGGGAUAAGCCUGGGAAACUGGGUCUAAUACCGGAUAGGAUCACUGCCUGCAUGGGUGGUGGUGGAAAGCUAUUGCGGUGUGGGAUGGGCCCGCGGCCUAUCAGAUUGUUGGUGGGGUGAUGGCCUACCAAGGCGACGACGGGUAGCCGGCCUGAGAGGGUGACCGGCCACACUGGGACUGAGAUACGGCCCAGACUCCUACGGGAGGCAGCAGUGGGGAAUAUUGCACAAUGGGCGCAAGCCUGAUGCAGCGACGCCGCGUGAGGGAUGACGGCCUUCGGGUUGUAAACCUCUUUCAGCACCGACGAAGCGCAAGUGACGGUAGGUGCAGAAGAAGGACCGGCCAACUACGUGCCAGCAGCCGCGGUAA
rnacentral:rRNA from 1 species